rnacentral:tRNA from 15 species
GCUCUCAUGGUCUAGUGGUUAAGACAGUUGAUUGCAAAUCAAUUGGUCCCUGGUUCGAAUCCGGGUGAGAGCU